UAACACGUGGGGAACCUGCCCCAUAGUCUGGGAUACCACUUGGAAACAGGUGCUAAUACCGGAUAAGAAAGCGGAUCGCAUGAUCAGCUUUUAAAAGGCGGCGUAAGCUGUCGCUAUGGGAUGGCCCCGCGGUGCAUUAGCUAGUUGGUAAGGUAAAGGCUUACCAAGGCGAUGAUGCAUAGCCGAGUUGAGAGACUGAUCGGCCACAUUGGGACUGAGACACGGCCCAAACUCCUACGGGAGGCACAGCU
rnacentral:rRNA from 1 species